rnacentral:lncRNA from 1 species
UUUGGAAGACACCCUAGGUCAGGCUAAAAGGCAUAAUGUGGUGGUUUGUAUAUGCUUGGCCCAGAAAGUGGCAGUAUUAGAAGGUGUGGCCCUAUGGGAGUAGGUGUGCCCUUGUUGGAGUAGGUGUGUCACUGUGGAUGUAAGCUAUAAGACUUUCAUCCUAGCUACCUGGAAGCCAGUAUUCUGCCAGCAGCCUUCAGGAUGAAGAUGUAGAACUCUCAGCUCCUGCUGUACCAUGACUGCCUGCAUGCUGCCAUGCUUCCUGCCUUGAUAAUAAUGAACUGAACCUCAGAACCUGGCAGGAAGUGACGUCGCCAGCUUUGGAAGAUGAGUACACCGGAAUUCGGUUCUGGACGUUUCCUUCUUGCGAUGCUUGGGAUUGAACCCAGCGCCUUGAGCAUGCUGACCAAGGGCUUUACUGCUGAAAAGACAUCUCGGGCGAUUCCAGAGGCUUCCUCCUCCUCUCUUCCCCAUCCUCUUCCUCCUCAGUACUGAGGAUCACACCCAGCGUUGUGACGUUCCUAGGGAAGCAUGCUGCCACCAAAUUAUGUUUCUGUCCCUGGAAGGCUCUUCUUUCUUAAGAUUUAUUCUAAUUAUCUUUAAUUACAUGCAUGUGUAUGUGUGUGAAUAUGUGCAAGCGAAUGCGGGUGUCUGUGGAGGUCAGAGACAUAAGAACCCCUGAUGACUAGAGUUACAGGAGGCUGUGAGAGGUCCAUUGUGGGCAUUCGGUGCCAAAUCUGGUUCCUCUGAAUGGGCACCCCACACUCUUAACCACCGAGUCACCUCUCCUGUCUGACGUGACCUUUCUUCUAAUAAAAAUUCACUAUGUCCACGGAAUAUGCUGAGAUUCCAUUAGAACUCUACCUGUGUUUGGCACCAUGGAGGCCAAACUCAGAGGAAGUGAGCAAGAGUUCCCUCCAAGAAGGUACUGAGCUCUGUGCCCAGUAAGGUGGUCAGAAACACCAAGUUUCAGACACUUGUCGUUGACAUCAAGUCGGAACAGGUAGACAGGCAAGAGGGGGCCACCCUGCAAGAUUUAUACCUCUGGUCUUUGGACUCCCAGCACUGACUGUCCUUCCAGAAUGGGCUUCAGGAUGACCUUCAACAUCGUCCCAAAGGGCACCGCAGCUGGGUAUGGGGACAUCCGCCUGUAAUCUCAGAACUCAGAAGACAGAGGAGAGAGGACUGCAAAGUCAAGUGUCACACAGUGAAACGGCACCUUCAAUGCUUUUGUAACUUGUAGGGUCUUAGUUUUGUUUGUUUGUUUGUUUUAAGAUAGGGUUUUUCUGUGUAGCCCCAGCUGUUCCAGAAUUCACUGUGUAGACCGGGCUGGCCUCUAAUUCAACAUCAGCUUACCUUUGCCUCCAGGGUGCUGGGAUUAGGCCCAAUGAGUCUUGAAGUUUUUAAUUAACUCAUUUUUCACUAAAAGGUAAUAAUUGAACACCAUAAAGAAUUAAGGAUUCUUUAUGAAUGAUAGGCCUCCUGUUUACACCAGACCCCUGUCCUAUGAUCCGGAGUCAAACAUGGCUGACAUCUUUUAUACAUCCUUUCAGAAACUGCCCAUGCAUACAGAAUCUUUUGUAUACAU